rnacentral:rRNA from 1 species
AUCGGACUUGGUGUUGGGGUGGCUUUGAGCUGUCCCAGUGCCGAAGGAAGCUAUUCAGUCAGACUUAUCCCUGGAGGUAGGUCCGAAGACUGAAACUUAAAGGAAUUGGCGGGGGAGCACCACAACGCGUGGAGCUGCGGUUUAAUUGGAUUCAACGCCGGACAUCUCACCAGAGGCGACA